GACAGAUCUGUCCAACUGGAAAACCUCUGGCCCGGAUUUGAAUACAGUGUUCGGGUGUUGGUUUUAACCGAACACGGCUUCCUUGAUGGAUCCACGAACCAUCGUGUCCAGACUGCCGACUUCAUCACAAAUUGCUCAGAUCCCAGCAUCACAGACGUUGAGGCAACGGAAGUUACUAAUUCCUCUGUCUCCCUGAGUUGGUCACCGGAUAUCCAAGUCCAUCCUCGCUGUGAAGUGACGUAUGUUCUCGAGCUCGGGAAGAAGUCAGGAGGAUCCAAAAUACGAAGAGCAACCAACUCGACUUCCUUCACUUUCGCUAGCUUGGAUUCGGACACUGAAUACGACUCGUGAUCGGACUCUACAGUGGGGCUCGCGACAG